CACAGCGUAGCUUAACCUAAAGCAUCUGGCCUACACCCAGAAGAAUCCAACAAACAAUGGACGCUUUGA
rnacentral:tRNA from 1 species